AUUGAACGCUGGCGGCAGGCUUAACACAUGCAAGUCGAGCGGGGGAAGGUAGCUUGCUACCGGACCUAGCGGCGGACGGGUGAGUAAUGCUUAGGAAUCUGCCUAUUAGUGGGGGACAACAUCUCGAAAGGGAUGCUAAUACCGCAUACGUCCUACGGGAGAAAGCAGGGGAUCUUCGGACCUUGCGCUAAUAGAUGAGCCUAAGUCGGAUUAGCUAGUUGGUGGGGUAAAGGCCUACCAAGGCGACGAUCUGUAGCGGGUCUGAGAGGAUGAUCCGCCACACUGGGACUGGGACACGGCCCAGACUCCUACGGGCGGCAGCAGUGUGGAAUAUUGGACAAUGGGUGGAACCCUGAUCCAGCCAUGCCGCGGGUGUGAAGAAGGCAUUAUGGUUGUAAAGCACUUUAAGCAAGAAGGAGGCUACUUUAGUUAAUACCUAGAGAUAGUGGACGUUACUCGCAGAAUAAGCACCGGCUAACUCUGUUCCAGCAGCCGCCGUAA
rnacentral:rRNA from 1 species